ACCGGCGCCAUCUUGGAGUUGGCUUCCCACAGAGGUAUAGGAUGAUUAAGUUCCAGCCAUUGCUAUGGCACUCUACAUUUGUGUGAUAGAGCCAUGAGUGUUCUACUUAUGAUGAAAUGUUCCAAAUGGAAACUGUACCCAGCCCCUCUCAAAAAGCUUAGUUUGCCACAAAGGCUGUUGAGCUGAAUUUGAUCCUUCCAUCCAUGUGAAGGAGAAAGAAAACCAACUAGGGAAGCCAAGAACUGUGUUUGAAGACUCAUCUAACCUCAGUUCCAAACCAAUAGAAUGACUGAGGCCCUUGUUCAUGUACCACUUAAAUUGGUUCUGCUUUGAAAAUGGUGCUGGGUCUAUGCUUCACCAACCUCUCCAGGUGACAGGAGCUCAUUUUCACAAUGGCAGAGACUUGCCCAUCCUUCAAACCCCAUUCUGUCAGAACAUCCAGACCCAAGGAGGUAGGAUCCAUACAGCUCCAGGUGAAGCUUAGUGAUCUAAGAUUUUCUUUGAUAUGCAUGAAAAUCACCUGAUGGAUUGAUGGAUGGAAUGACAGAUGGGAAGGUGCAUAAACAUGUGUCAAAGCAAAUAUGUUAAAGUGACAAAUGAAGAAGCACAUUGGUGUAUAUGUGUACGAGUUAUGGAAUUCAUUCAACUUUUCCAUAGUUUUUCAUUUUUUUAUAGUAACACAUUUGUGUAUGACACCAAGUACUGACCAGGAUUCAGUACAUUUUCAGUGUAGACAUAUUUCCAGGCAAAUGUCUGAUACAAUGAUGAGGGUGCCCGUUGCACAAUGGUAGCACAGAAGAGGAAGUUUUGGGGCCAAUAAGAUAUAUCAGACUAGAGGUGAGUUGAGGCCAGAAAUGGGCUAUAAAACAUUGACUAUAUUGUCUAGAGUUAUGGAAAGUGGAAAAGUGCCUAUUUUGGAUGUGAAUGUUCUACCUGAGAUCCACAUAUUAAAGACUAUCACAUCCUGUAGUACUCUUGAGAAAAGCUAGAAUCUUUAAGAGGAAGCUGAGUCCUCUUAAAAAUGAGGUCACCUGGUCAAAACUCUGAGGGUAAUAUUGAGAGUCUGGCUCCUUUCCCAUCUCUCUCUGCUUAGACUAUCAUGGGGUAAACGAGACUUUUGUAUAGCAGUCUAUGUAUGAUAUGUUAUACCCAAAUAGAUUCACAGCAGUGCUGCCAAA
rnacentral:lncRNA from 1 species